CACUGUCCUCUGCUGGACCUUAAUCUCUGGCUUGACUCAGAGUCUGUGAAGGAAUGAAUGGUUGCUGGUAUAGAAUUGGGAAAUCAGUGCUUCUCGUUCUCAGCUGAAGAGAAAUGUGAAGUAGUACUGUCAACCCAGAAGACAGUUGAGUCAUAAAGGUCUGAUUAAAGAGUGGGAAGGCAGUAGGUCCAACAUUGAAGAAGAUGCAGUCUCUCGACUACUUAUUGUCCUCCUCGUCUCAGCAAUAUAAACUCCAAGGAAAGGUGAGAUGAUGUGACUAUACAUAGGCAUCAUAUGUUAUCUGCACUGAUUGAUGAAAGUCAGAAGGAGAAGUGAUCCCUUGGUUUUCAGGGGUUAAGUCUAUUUUCACACACUAGCAGGGCAUAAUAUUUCCAUUAAUACACA